rnacentral:piRNA from 1 species
UGAACCAUGAUAACCUUUUUGCCUA